rnacentral:rRNA from 1 species
AAGUCGUAACAUGGUAAGCGUACUGGAAAGUGUGCUUGGAAA